rnacentral:rRNA from 1 species
AUCGGAGGAAAAGAAAAUAACAAUGAUUUCCCUAGUAACGGCGAGUGAAGAGGAAAGAGCUCAAAGUUGGAACCUGUUUGGCUUAGCUAAACCGGAUUGUAAACUGUAGAAACAUUUUCCAGAUACACUAGACAAAAAAGUCCUUUGGAACAGGGCAUCAUAGAGGGUGAGAAUCCCGUCUUUGGUCUAAGUAGUUGUCUAUUGUGAUAUGUUUUCAAAGAGUCAGGUUGUUUGGGAAUGCAGCCUAAAUUGGGUGGUAAAUCUCACCUAAAGCUAAAUAUUUGCGAGAGACCGAUAGCGAACAAGUACCGUGAGGGAAAGAUGAAAAGAACUUUGAAAAGAGAGUUAAACAGUAUGUGAAAUUGUUAAAAGGGAACCGUUUGGAGCCAGAUUGGCUUGAUUGUAAUCAACCUAGAAUUCGUUUUGGGUGCACUUGCAGUCUAUGCCUGCCAACGACAGUUUGAUUUGGAGGAAAAAAUUAAUAGGAAUGUGGCCUUUCGAGGUGUUAUAGCCUAUUAUCAUACUCUGGAUUGGACUGAGGAACGCAGCGAAUGCCUUUAGGCAAGAUUGCUGGGCGCUUUCGCUAAUAAAUGUUAGAAUUUCUGCUUCGGGUGGUGCUAAUGUUUAAAGGAGGAACCCGUUUAGUAUAUUUUAUCGCUAGGUGUGCUAGUCGGAGU